rnacentral:lncRNA from 1 species
AUUUAUUCUUGUGCCUUGUCGUCAAUUUGGCCCUGCGGCACAAAUUAAACAUCUCGCUUUCAUCGAUCUUUUUGUACUGCUUAUUGUGACGAUAUCGCUGAGAAAGCGAUAACGGCGAAAAUAAGGGAGUUAUAAAUUGGUUCGAGCAGACAAACCACCCUGUGCCCCGACUACAGCGACCCACAAUGGGAACUUUUGGUAUCGGAAGCCUACCCCAAAUUGGAAACACAAGGACCAUAACGCGGAGUGAAACACUCAAAAAGGCGCUAAAUACGAAAUACACCCAAUACUUCUGAAAGCCAUGUGCACUAAGUACAAGCAUACAAGCAUUAUUUUACAAAAUUAUCCAAGAUCGCUAAAGAAGUUGAAGAACAUAUCAUUGUUUAUAUGUUUGCGGCUACUCAUGGCUGCAGAAUUUGCGGCUGCGACGGAUUCAUCGGAAAC